CAACCCUCAGGCCUGGCCUGGUGUUGGAGCACCACUGCUGUGGGCUCCCAAAUGCAGCGGCGGGCAUGGUCCGGAUCCGAGCGUAGUACACUACAUCGCUCUGGGCGCGGGCCAUGUCUCAGCCGGUAAACCCCCAUCUCACAA
rnacentral:misc_RNA from 1 species